CUGGGAAACUGCACUUGCAGGAUUGAGUUAUUUGCCCAAAGGCCUGGGGCCAGUGGAUGAGAGCACUCAGAUUCCAUGGCUGGACUGGACACACAGCCUCCACUUCUCCCCAUGACAGGGUUAACUGCAUCAGCUUCUGCUGCCAGGUCCAUGCCAGGCCAGGGUUCUGGUGAACUUGGGAAGAAACCUCCCCACAUGCGUUCUAAUUCUUCUGGGGUUCACGCUCUCUGCCCAAGCUGUGGCUGUUGGCUGUCACUGCUCAUGCACGGCUGAUGCUCAGAGCAGGUGGGUCACAGGACGCCUCGGACGAGCUGUCCUGAUGCUUGAGCAAGGGCCAGACCCGAUGCACCGUCAGACCAGCGUGCGUCCCGCCAAGGCAGAAAGUCCCUGCACCACUGCACCUCCGAGAAGAACCGAAGGAAGAGCCACCUGGUGACGACCUUUCUCCUCUUCUCUGAAAUCUGGUGCCAUAACUUCACAAAAACUUUUGAUCUAGAGCUGCUCUGAAGAUUAAAAAACAAAAAAACAAAAGUUAAUCCCCAUGCUUAUAGAGAUUAUCUGUUCUGUUCUAUGUUCCAUCCUGGUAAAAAUUGUCAGUGCUAUUUAUAAAUUCUGGAGUAAAAGGAGUCCUGGCUAAUGCAGGAGGAGCUUUUCAGACCAUGUAAACAGUAGGCAAAGAUUUUGAGGCCAGAUUAAGAGCAACUUUCAGAUGCCCUAAAACCAUGGUGCUCGUUGAUCGUAGUGAAUGCUCUGCCACCAGUUCCGUUGGUGUGGGGCGACUGUGGGGCCACAAGGAAAUUUUACUCCAGCUCUUCCAUCCUCAGUUUCUUCAUACUUAAAUCAUGAAUAAACACAAUAGCGAUAAUUGAAUGUGGCCACCCGUAAAAAUGCGAUGUUGUAAGCGCCCUUUGGGAACAGUGAGGAUCUGCGCUCACUUACCCAGCAGCUUGCCCGCCCCCAGGCGAUGUGGGCUCUCACAUGCCGCAAAUGCCUCCUUCCUUUCCCCGAGCAGAUGCCCUGCAUGGUCCCCUCCUGCCCCUGUGUGCAGUGCGAGCAUGUCCACAUGCCUGGAGGCCCGGCCUGAGCGGCAUCUGCUUUCUGGGGGUGGCCGCCUGCCGAGCCUGCUCUGUGGGUCACCCCCGAGGCCCCAGCUCUGUCCCAAUCGAGGGCCUCUAGCUGGUACCCCUUCUUACCCAGUGUCACCAUUCAGAGUGGCCCAUCUACAUACCAGCCCCAGACUUCCCUAUUCUUUUUUAUUUUUACCAUCUGGAUGCUCAUCCACUCAUGUUAUUUUAAGUAUUUUGUCUUUAUUCUCUUUCCUUUCAGGCCAUCUCAUGCAUUACUGCCACAAUGAUCUCUUUAAACUAUGACGAUUCAGCUCUUCCCUCUGUCCUUCAGCUUUGUUCUGCUCAGCUUGGACGAGCCCGAGACUGUUCCUUCCUGUCGCCUGCCCUCAGCUUUCAGCCACAGAUGUCAGAUAUCCACAGAGCCCUCUGAGCCUUAGGCCAGGAGACCCCUCAUGAUGUCACGGCACCUGAGUCUGAAGCCAGACACCCCCCACCAGCCCACCCCGUGCCCCAUUCAUUUCCGCAGCUCAGCAGGCUGUGAGGGUCUCAGGCUCAACCUCCCAGCAGGGCCUCUGCUCCUGGUCACCACGUGGUAGAGGCUCUGCAGCAGCGCUGAGUAGGCAGCUGACACCUUCUUCCAAGCCUCACUACCAUCUUCCCCAAGAUAGGCAUCUGUGUGUUUAUUCGACUUAGAAUUUUCUCUACCUCUUAAGCAAAUCCUCCUCCUUCGAGGCCACAUUGUCGUCUCCUCUAAGCCUUCCUGGGUUUACUCUAUUUCUUAUUUCCUGUAUCCUUGCUGCUCUGGCUCCUGGGGUCUGGCUGGCCACGGCAGGACCGCCCCUCCGAGGGCCAAUGGCUCCUGAGACAGCAAACACCCCGCCAGGGGCACGCCCUUCCCGUGCCAGCUCACCCUUGUGGGCGCACACCCCUCGCGGGGCUCUCCUAGCCCCGGCCCGCACUCCUCUGGCCUCGUCAGCCCAGGGUGGGUCCCAGACAAGGUGGCGCAGGCCCUACGAGACCAUUCACAGGAGCCGACCCUAAAUCUGCUUGGCAGGCUUACUCUGCCUCAGCUGCUUUCCCAGGAAAAUCACAGCACAGGCUCUUGUCCCCAUGUUCCCCUCGCUGCCGCUGCCUCCUGAGCGACCCUGAUGCUGCCGCGCCAGCUUGGAGUGGUCCCUCAUGGCACGGCGUGUCCCGGUCCCUUGGACCCGCGAGGAGCAGACUGUCUGUCCUGAGGCUGUCACCUCCCGGUCUGCUGUCCGCACUGUACUGGAAUAAUAGAGGCUGCACUUGAAAACACCUCCAAGCGGGAGUUAGCGUAAUGGGAACCAGUGGGGUUUCCCUUUCGCACUUUUCUCUUCUGAAACCCUGGAUUCCAGAGUGAAGGGAGCCAAUGUGCAUGUUGGGGGUAGGGACAGAACUCUGUGGAAGACAAGACAGACCCCGAGAUGGCAAAAGGACCGUUUCUGGAAGAGUCAGAAAGAGAGUGGAGAGGCCAGCUUUUUGCUACGUAGAGAUGGAAAUAAGAAGGUGGGGGUGACCUGGAAAGGAAUGUAACAGCCUUGAGAGAAGACAGAACAUGAGCACAGAGCUUCCUCUGAUCUGACAGCUCCGGCGGCUCCAGAGGCAGCAGCUGAACCCUUGCGAUUGCGCUUCCAGACCCAGGCUCUGCCGGGGGUGGAGGGGUGGGGCGCCUGCUGCUUCCUAGGGCAUGAGACGGUCACCCUCCUGCUCAGGUGUUGCCUGGCCAGACUGGUGGUAAGAUUGGGGCAAUCCUCCACCCAAAGCUCGUGCAAAAGUCAGCAGCCGCCUCCCCAACAUGAGCUUUGUACCUGCCAGUGGAACAGCUUCCAGUUUCUUGUUCCUGAUCCAUUUUCUUUGUCACACCGCAUCUCACUGUCCAUUUUAGCCUGAGAGCCCAGAUAGGCACCCUCCCCUUUCACUGGUUGCUCUACACAGAUUGGGUCCUACGAGGGCAAACACAGAGUUAAGGGCUCAGCUUAAAGUUAGAAUGGCCAAAAUAAUAGUGGCUUAACCAGCACUUCUAAAACUAGUGUACAAAAGAACCCCCUGACAACUGUGUUAAGUGCAGAUUUUAUUUCUAGGCAUUCAGCAGACCUGAGGGAGAAUGAGAUUCUGGAUUUCUGAAAAGGUCUGCUGGCUCAAGGAAUGCCCUCUGCAGAAGGACAGCAACAACACAGUCACUUAGUUCUCUUUCCCAGGAAAGGGCUGGUGCAGAGACUGCUCUGCAGAGUCUGUGGAGAUCCAGACAAUUUCCUUAUUGCUGUUCAUUGUGGAUCCCACCUUCACAAAGUCACCUCAGUGUUCAAAAUAGCUGCUGCAGAUCCUUCCAUUGUGUCCAUAUCCAGCUACCAUUGAGGAGGAGGGGAUGAAGACACAAACAACAAAACUGCCACUCAGCUGUCUUUUAAGAAAGGCUAUAAGCUGCUGUUCUGUGACACUUUGGGUUUGAAAACAUUGUUUAGAACAACAAAUGUUUCAAUGUUUGGAUGGGGAAUGUCAUCUUUGUGUAGAAGUUGUGUGCCCAGCUGACAGCUAUUCUUUAACUGUGUGUGUAGAUUGGGUAAAUGGGGGAAAUGUAGGCUUUGGCUUCCCUGGAGGAAAGCCAGGAUUUUGUGUGUGUUUCUGAGGGUUUAGGAAGAUGUCAAGCAUUUAUAUAGGAUAUGUGUAUUAUUAUUACAUAAAUAAAAGUAACACAAUACCAGUACAACACAACAAUGGGUAACAGUUGCAUUAGGCACUAUUUGUCAGAUAAUGUUCAAAGUGCUUUACAUGUUUUGAUUCAUUUAAUUCUCAGAACAACCACAUGAGAAAAGUGAAGCAGAAGGAGAUUGAGUAACUGGUCAGGUCAUACAGCUGGUAAGUGACCUGCCAAGGACUCUAAGCAGCUGUUUCCAGGCAAUAUGCCCUUGACCCACUCGUGUGCUGGUACAAGUUUAACAACCUGCUCUCCAAUAAAAUAUGCCCUGCUUGGAAACCUCUGCCAAAUCCUGUGGUGUAAAUACUUCAAGCUACAUGAUAUCACCAAGCUGAGUCCGGAAGCAAUCACUGUGUACUAUGCCACUACAUGAUUCUUUCUUACAUUAUCAUACAGUAUUUGCAACCCAUACAUGCCAUAGAUGAAGCUCACCUUAAGAGCAUAGAUGUACAGUGUGGCAAAGUAAUUAGGAAGUGGUAAGUUUUGAGUAUUUGUUAAUUUUGUUUCUAAUAUGUUUUAUUUUAUUGGAAGUUUCUGUCAUUUAAUCAUGAAUAAUUGCUUGGUUUAAUGACCAGUUAAUAAAAGUUCCAGCAAUUCAACAAUAGGCUUUUAUGACCCAGUACGAGCUGACUCUGGCUACCACUGCCUGCACCAGUAUUCUUUACAAACAAUUUAAAACUUAAUAUUAUACAUCUGUGCUCCUUCAAAAAUACAGUCUCUUUGCCAUUUCAGUCAACUGGGAUUUUUUUGCCUCCAGAGCAGCA